rnacentral:rRNA from 1 species
AGAUGCGAGAGUAGAGCAUAUCAAUAAGCGGAGGAAAAGAAACUAACAAGGAUUCCCUUAGUAACGGCGAGUGAAGCGGGAAGAGCUCAAAUUUGAAAUCUUCAAGGUUCUACCUUGACGAAUUGUAGUUUAAAGAAGUGUUUUCUGUUAGAUGAGUAGCAAAAGUUCCUUGGAAUGGGACAUCAUAGAGGGUGAGAAUCCCGUAUUUGGUUAUUCAUUCUAGCUUUGUGAUACACUUCCAAAGAGUCGGAUUGUUUGGGAAUGCAGUCCAAAAUGGGUGGUAAAUUUCAUCUAAAGCUAAAUAUUGGCGAGAGACCGAUAGCGAAACAAGUACCGUGAGGGAAAGAUGAAAAGAACUUUGAAAAGAGAGUUAAACAGUACGUGAAAUUGUCAAAAGGGAAGCGUUUGACACCAGUGUUGUUUUUCCGAAAAUCAAUUACGAAUGGCUUGAUUUUGUGUUGUAUUGACCCUAUCAGCUUUCUGCACUUUUUUCGAGUCUUUCUUAAUGCACUUUUCGGUUAACAAGUCAACAUCAAUUUCUUUUGUUGUAAAAGAGUAUUCGGAAGGUGGCUUUCUUUUCGGAGAAAGUGUUUAUAGCCCUAUACUUCUACAAUCGGAGAGAUUGAGGUCUGCAGCGUAGAUCCUUCGGGGUUAGAUACAUUUGUGCUAAGCUAGCUAGCUUUUCAUAGACAACUUGUUGACUAUGUUUAGUCAUUGUGACUUACCCGCUUAUGCUAUUUUACCUACGCUUAGGAUGUUGAAGCGCAUGUCUCUCUCU